rnacentral:lncRNA from 1 species
UCUAAGUAUAUGUAUUAGAGUCCAAUCGAUUUAAUUUGAUUAGUAAAACCUAAUUUAUUAUUUUCACCUUAGUCGCAUACUAAGAUAAAAAGACGGUUUGAUCAAUUCUAAGCAUAUAUUUAGAGUUUGAUCGAGUUUGAAUAUGGUUGUGAUUUGACUCUAGUUUUAUAUGCUAGAGAAUUUUUAAGGACUUGGUAUGGAGAAGAGGUUGGAUUAGGUUGUGCAUGAUUUGAAUUGGGUUAAAUUGGAAUUUUGAUUUGUUUUGGGUUUGAGGUUAGGUUUGGGCUUUGAUUUGGUUUUUAUGGUGUAGGGUUCAUAUAAGG